UUUUAAUUAGUUUAAUAGUUAAAAUACCUGCUUAUUAUAUAUAAAGCGCAAAUAGCCGAAGUUCGAUUCCUCGAUUAAAAG